UACGGAGGGUGCAAGCGUUAAUCGGAAUUACUGGGCGUAAAGCGCACGCAGGCGGUUUAUUAAGUCAGAUGUGAAAUCCCCGGGCUUAACCCGGGAAUUGCAUCUGAUACUGGUAAGCUAGAGUCUUGUAGAGGGGGGUAGAAUUCCAUGUGUAGCGGUGAAAUGCGUAGAUAUAUGGAGGAACACCAGUGGCGAAGGCGACUCCCUGGACUGUAACUGACGCUGAGGCUCGAAAGCGUGGGGAGCAAACAGG
rnacentral:rRNA from 1 species